rnacentral:lncRNA from 10 species
GGAGAAGGCAGAGGCUUCUUGUUCAUGCCACAGUCUGGGUUGCCUCACUUUCCUGUGUGGCUUCCAGUUUUGACAUUAUCUAAAUAACUAAUUCCUCAUCUAGCAUUUAUUUAUUUUAAGAGAAAUCUCUGUGCUUUUUUGUUUAAUUUUAGAAAUUGGUUGUUUACUGAUACACUUUGGGGGAAAAUCUGGAAAUGAUUUUGAACCAGUAUGUGUGUUGAGGAGGUGUUGGCUACCUGCCUGGCAAAAGAUAAUUGGAAGUGGCAGUGAGUUAUUAUUGAAGUGGCCAUGCCAUUCUGGUGAGGAGUUCUUUUCUGUCACCACCAUGAAAAUAUCAUUCUACUGGCUUUUUGCUAAGAAGUCUGCUGUUAAUCUCAGAGACUUUUUCAAAAAUGCAUUUUUUCCAUGACUUGCUUUUGAGAUCUUUGUUUUUCUUCAGUGGUCUACAGCUUUACUACAAUAUUUGAAGCACAAAAUGGAUUAAGACAUCUCUCCUGGUACUUAUGCUUUCUUGGAGGAGGAGGUAAUAUGGGUCUGACCUUAAGAAAAUAGGACCUUCCAUUUUCUAGCUCCUGGAACACUUCCACUUAGCACCCAGCCAUCAGACUGUGUAUGAGGAGAGGAACUGAGACCUGCAGACCAAUAACCUAAGCUGAACUCGCAGCUGAAAGCUAACCCACCUCUAAUGGACUCUCCACUCAAAAUCCAGAUUAGUGAACCAAAUAUAUGACUGUUGUUUUUAAGCCACUAUGUUUUAGCAUGGUAUGUUACACACCAAUAGAUAACUAAAACUGUUCUCUCACCAUCUCAACAUCCUCUUCAUAUUUUCUAAAUAAUAAAAUAUGCCAUUUGAUUUUACAAGAAACAAAUGUUAGAUGGCAGGGCUGAAGUUAAAUGGGAACCUAAUGUUCACAACGACUAACAGAUUUGUAAAUUGAGCUUAUAUGUCUACAUCAAAGUUCUCAAUCUUUAUUUAUGCUAUAGUUUAAAGCAUGACUAUACUUUUCAGCUGACUCUCUUGAAAAGUGGAGUAUAAUUAAUAUAUUGAUACCUGGAUAUAUUAUAUUUUAGUUCAUGAUUCCAUUUAGUCCUGAAAAAUAGAAGGCAUUGUCAUUUUGUAGACAUCUCCUUGAUAUAUUUGUGUUAGAGUUAACUCAAUUUUUUAAAUGUAAGAUUUAACUCUAUGACACUAAUCACCUGUCAUCAGUCACUGACUAUAGUUCAAUAUCAUUUGAGUCACCAAGGCUAAGAUAUACCAGAUAACUGUUUCAGUACAGGUGAUUUGCAUUUAUCAUCUAAGAGCUUAUAAGAACCUCCUCUCACUAAAAUAUCAGAGGUCUAACUUUUACCCCCUUCCUCACAUCAAAAGCAUAAAACGCUGAGAUAUAUAAAGAGGAGAUUUCAGGGAGUUUGAGAACUUACUCAAAUGAUGUAACUCAUUUGACAAAUGACUUGCUUCAUGCAUCUUUUAGAUAGCUAAGUCCAAUUAGCUAAAAUUAUAGUUGAAUUGAAUAUGUAAAUAUCUAUAAAGUUGGCCUAAUUAGAUCCAUAGGGUGGUGUAGCAUCUGUGUUUAAAGCCCAGCAAUUGUGAAGAGGUUUUGGUUGCAAGCUUAGGGGAGGCUGUGAAGACUGGCAAGUCUAAGUCCUCCCGUGGAAUCUGAGAUUUCACAGGUAGUAUCUGAGGAUGGGUGUGAGAUUACUGCUCAAGCCAGAAAGAUUAACAGCUGCCUCAAUGGGAAUAAGAGUCACUAGGAAAUUUGAUUCUAUCAUUCCUGAAUCCAAGGUGGCGUUAACAAGCUUAUUAUGUAAGAAAGCAGCCUCUGUUACUAAUCUAAGCUGUAUCUGUUUUUCUGCUUACGCCUAUGAACCAGAACAUAAGAAGUAGUAGAACAAAUGAUAUGAAUCUACAAAUUAUGCCACGUAUUUUAAUUCUUCACUAUUUAAAUAAUUAAAAACUAAGUUUUCUUCUAAAUGUGUCACAUAGUAUAGAUUUUCUAGGGUGCACUUAAGAAAUUUGGUGUACUCAAGAUGAUCAACCUGUCUCAAAAUAAACUUAGAUUUUUUGAAGACUCUUCUGUUAAAUUGGACUUUGACCAUCACUGACACUUAUUUUGACCUUAUAAUACCAUAAAUAUGUACCCUUGAUCAAGACUCCAGCUGAUAGACCCUUAGCAUAGAUACAUAAAAAUAAUAAACCUUAUCUGAACAUCUGUUUUAAGUCAGCUUUUGCUGUGGAAGCUGUUACAAUUACAAAUUAUUUCCAUUUGAUUUCACUGAAAUUCAAUUAACUUCGAGCAAAAAUUAGCAACACUAAUUUUUAAAUAAGGAUGGGGUGAAGGUGAUAGUUAUUGUGGAGCAUUGAUAUGAUAGAAGCAGUGAGGGUAGAAAAUGUGUGAACGUUAAAUGCCUUUAUUACUCAUUUUACAUUUCAUCAGGUAUCAGAUGGCAUGAAAAUACGCUGUCUUGGUCUAUUUUCUUGCUACCACCCCUAAGAUAUCACAUACUUGGCUGUUUCUUAUUCUAAAACCACAGUCCCUUGGGGGCUAGCUAUUAUUUUAAUGAUCAGAGUGAUGAUGAGUCUCUGAAUACCUUAAGGUUUGUAUACUAAGGAUUAUCUCAAUUUAGCUAACAUAAGCUCUAUGAAUGUGUUGCAUAUAAAAUCAUUUUAUCUAAGGCCACAUAUUCUCAAAAGACAUAUUAUGUUGUAUUUUACACCUGAUGCAUUUACAGUUACCACUAACAAGCAAGAAAAAAAUCUCCUCUACAGAGUUUGAAGUAUAUAUUUUUAAAUUAUUGUUGCUUCUAAAAAUACAAAAAUAGAUUUGGAGGUUGAUAUUUUUGGCAGGGGCUCUGAAUAUUUUCAUGUGGAAGUCAGCAACCUAAUAAGCCUGACUUACUGAGUGGAUCAGUGGGUUGUAAUUCUGGUAACUUAUUUUUUAACUAGCUUGAGGCUAGGUCUAUCUCAAUUAUGCUUCAGGUUGUAUAAUAGAUUAUAUGGCAUAUUCAAUAAAGUUGAUAUUGUAUUAAACACAGUAGAGACAAUUAAUGAAUAUUUUUUUCUCGUGAGUUGAUAUUUUAAAAAGAGUUAAUUAUGUAGAAUUUUUUGAAAGGCUUUAUUCAAUAGGACUCAAUACCGGUCUGAUCAUCAUCCUACGAUAAUGGGAUAUGGGUCACAGCAGGGAGAAAAUCAAUAGUGCUGAUGGGCUAUUUUAUUUAAAUCUCAAGCAGUUUUCUCUUCAUAAUAAGAAGAUGUUUUCCAAUUAAAUUGUAAAUUUGAACUAAUAUAUUGUUUUAUAUAAGAUACUUUAUAACUUA